GACGAACGCUGGCGGCGUGCCUAAUACAUGCAAGUAGAACGCACAGUUUAUACCGUAGCUUGCUACACCAUAAACUGUGAGUUGCGAACGGGUGAGUAACGCGUAGGUAACCUGCCUGGUAGCGGGGGAUAACUAUUGGAAACGAUAGCUAAUACCGCAUAAUAUUGAUUAUUGCAUGAUAAUUGAUUGAAAGAUGCUAUUGCAUCACUACCAGAUGGACCUGCGUUGUAUUAGCUAGUAGGUGAGGUAACGGCUCACCUAGGCGACGAUACAUAGCCGACCGGAGAGGGUGAUCGGCCACACUGGGACUGAGACACGGCCCAGACUCCUACGGGAGGCAGCAGUAGGGAAUCUUCGGCAAUGGACGAAAGUCUGACCGAGCAACGCCGCGUGAGGGAAGAAGGGUUUCGGAUCGUAAAGCUCUGUUGUAAGAGAAGAACGGGUGUGAGAGUGGAAAGUUCACACUGUGACGGUAUCUUACCAGAAAGGGACGGCUAACUACGUG
rnacentral:rRNA from 1 species